GCUCUUUCUGGCAAAGGUAAUGACAUACGCAUCUGUGCCAGCAUCCCAAGAGUGAGGCUGGUUUCUGGAAAUCCAUUCUGACUCUGUGACAGCGGGGAUGGAUGUGACCUUGCCCGUGGUUAGAAAACAAAUUUACUGAGAUCUAAUCCAGGAUCAUAUGCUGCCUUUAGGUGACACAUCCCUUUAGUCUCCUUUAAUCAGGAGCAGUUUCUCAGUGUUCAUCUUCCAUGAAGUCGACAUUUUUGAAGAGUAUAGGUGUCAGAUCUUUUUCAAGAACAGCAGAAAAUGAUCGAAUACCAGCAUGGUGAAACCCCGUCUCUACUAAAAAUACAAAAAUUAGCUGGGCAUGGUGGCAGGCACCUGUGAUCCCAGCUACUCGGGAGGCUGAGGCAGGAGAAUCACUUGAACCCAGGAGGCAGAGGUUGCAGUGAGCCAAGAUCGCGCCAUUGCACUCCAACCUGGGCAACAGAGCAAAAAGAUUCCAUCUCAAAAGAAAAGAAAAGAAAUCUGUUAAUAUUAUUAAAAUAUUUAUGUCACUUUGGAGAAUCUUCCCUUAGAAGUAAAAGCUCCAAUACAUAAAAGACAGAUGAACAUGUGAACAUGGACAUUUAUUGUAAAAAUUGUUCUUAAUGGCAAAAAAACCCCCAAAACCAAAGCAAACACUAGAAUCAAAGUAAAUACCCAUCAACUGGGAAAUUGUAGAAAGGAAAAAACUAUAGUGUAUCCAUUCCAUAGAAUGUUAAUAUAGCCAUUAAGGUGGACAAAUUAAAACUAUGCUAGUGGACUUGAGUGGAAUUCCACAAUGUUCUCUUGAGUGAAAAAUGCAAGGUAGAUAUUAAGUAUGUUAAAUAUGACUCCAUUUUUUUAAAUCAUUAACAAAAUGUCUCUAGGUGUUUGUCAGCAAUAAACGGUAUCUAUAUAUGUUUAUUUGAUUUUAUGUGCAUGAAGAAAAGUAUAGAAGAGUAUGCAUUGACUUGGAGGGAGGUGGGUAAUGCAGGUAGGUUAUGGGGGAGUCAGGGGUGUAGGGAAAAGGAAAACCAAAAAAGAAAAAUACAUAAAUGACUGAAUCACGGGUGAUACCACAAAUGUGUGAGUUAGUAAAUUUGGCUGGGGAUGGGGGAGCUAGAAUUUUGCUAAUUUGUGGGGAUGUUCAUGGUAUAUAUUGUAAAAAGGGAAAAUUUCAUAAUAAUGUAUACGAUUCUAUUUUUAAAAAAAGUAAAAACUCCUGUGUGUGUAUAUAUGCAUGUGGAUGUUUAUAUGAACAUAGAAAAGUGUAGAAGAAUACACACGAAGGUGUUAACAUUCAUUGGUUACCUUGGUGGAGAAGGGUAAUAAGUUUUCUGAAUACCUUUGCAUUGUCUUGUUCACAUAUAUUGCUUUUGUAAUUUG
rnacentral:lncRNA from 10 species